AAACUNCANAGGAAUUNAUNGGGNACCCGCNCAANACGNUGGAUGAUGUGGAUUAAUUNGAUGCAANCGCNGAACAACNUUACCUNAGCGCUUGACAUGUCNGGGAANCNCGCUAAGAGGCGGGGGGUGGCCCGAAAANGAACGCGAACACAGGUCNUGCAUGGCUAGUCGUCAGCUCGUGUCCGUGAGAUGUUUGGGUUAAGUCCCGCAACGAGCGCAACCCUUGUCAUUAGUUGCUACGAAAGGGCACUCUAAUGAGACUGCCGGUGACAAACCGGAGGAAGGUGGGGAUGANGUCAGGUCCUCAUGGCCCUUAUGGGUAGGGCUACAUCACGUCAUACAAUGGCCGGUACAGAGGGCUGCCAACCCCNCGAGGGGGAGCUAAUCCCAGAAAACCGGUCGUAGUCCGGAUCGCANNAAANCAACUCGACUGCGUGAAGUCGGAAUCGCUAGUAAUCGCGGAUCAGCUUGCCGCGGUGAAUACGUUCCCGGGUCUUGUACACACCGCCCGUCACACCAUGGGAGCGGGUUCUGCCAGAAGUAGUUAGCCUAACCGCAAGGAGGGACGAUUACCACGGCAGGGUUCGUGACUGGGGUGAAGUCGUAACAAGGUAGCCGUAUCGGAANGUGCGGCUGGAUCACCUCCUU
rnacentral:rRNA from 1 species